rnacentral:rRNA from 1 species
GUUACCUUCGGGUAAUGAGGAUGGCGGACGGGUGAGUAACGCGUAAGGAACUUGCCUCUUGGUCUGGGACAACUGUUGGAAACGACAGCUAAUACCGGAUAUUAUGAGAUUCUCGCAUGGGAAACUUAUGAAAGCUAUAUGCGCCAAGAGAGAGCCUUGCGUUCCAUUAGCUAGUUGGUGGGGUAACGGCCCACCAAGGUGACGAUGGAUAGCCGGCCUGAGAGGGUGAACGGCCACAAGGGGACUGAGACACGGCCCUUACUCCUACGGGAGGCAGCAGUGGGGAAUAUUGGACAAUGGGCCACAAGCCUGAUCCAGCAAUUCUGUGUGCACGAUGAAGGUCUUCGGAUUGUAAAGUGCUNNNNNNUGGGAAGAAGAAAGUGACGGUACCAACAGAAGAAGCGACGGCUAAAUACGUGCCAGCAGCCGCGGUAAUACGUAUGUCGCAAGCGUUAUCCGGAUUUAUUGGGCGUAAAGCGCGUCUAGGCGGAAAAAUAAGUCUGAUGUUAAAAUGCGGGGCUCAACUCCGUAUUGCGUUGGAAACUGUUUUUCUAGAGUACUGGAGAGGUGGGCGGAACUACAAGUGUAGAGGCGAAAUUCGUAGAUAUUUGUAGGAAUGCCGAUGGAGAAGUCAGCUCACUGGACAGAUACUGACGCUAAANCGCGAAANCNUGGGGAGCAAACAGGAUUAGAUACCCUGGUAGUCCACGCCGUAAACGAUGAUCACUAGGUNUUGGGGGUCGAAC